rnacentral:tRNA from 1 species
GGGAAGGUGGCUCAGUGGUAGAGCAUUUGCCUUGCAUGCAAAUCCUUAGCUUGGGGCUCUUCUCC